UACGUAGGGCGCAAGCGUUGUCCGGAAUUAUUGGGCGUAAAGAGCUCGUAGGCGGUUUGUCGCGUCUGCCGUGAAAGUCCGGGGCUCAACUCCGGAUCUGCGGUGGGUACGGGCAGACUAGAGUGAUGUAGGGGAGACUGGAAUUCCUGGUGUAGCGGUGAGAUGCGCAGAUAUCAGGAGGAACACCGAUGGCGAAGGCAGGUCUCUGGGCAUUAACUGACGCUGAGGAGCGAAAGCAUGGGGAGCGAACAGG
rnacentral:rRNA from 1 species